rnacentral:misc_RNA from 1 species
GUGAGUCAUCGAAUCUUUGAACGCACCUUGCGCUCCUUGGUAUUCCGAGGAGCAUGCCUGUUUGAGUGUCUUGAAGUCAUCAACCCUUUCUGUUUCGUGCAGAGACGGGUUGGAUUGGUGGGGGUCUGCUGCCGUGAGGUGGCUCCCCUCAAAUGCAUCGGUUGGGCCUGUGGGUCGAAUUCGACUGGGCGUUGUACCAUCCUCGCUCGACAGAGACGUUCCCCUAUUUGUGCCCUUCCCCGACCUGCCUCUCAGAGUGGCGGUCACAAGCAAAAGCUUUGAAAUCUGACCUCAAAUCAGGUAGGACUACCCGCUGAACUUAAGCAUAUCAAUAAGCGGAGGA